rnacentral:tRNA from 1 species
AUUUAUAUAGUUUAACAAAAACAUUACAUUUUCAUUGUAAAAAUAAAUAAUUUUUAUAAAUU